rnacentral:rRNA from 1 species
GCAGCCGCGGUAAUACGUAGGUGGCAAGCGUUAUCCGGAAUUACUGGGUGUAAAGGGAGCGCAGGCGGGACAGCAAGUCAGCGGUGAAAUUUAUGGGCUCAACCCAUAAACUGCCGUUGAAACUGUUGUUCUUGAGUGGAGUAGAGGCAGGCGGAAUUCCGAGUGUAGCGGUGAAAUGCGUAGAUAUUCGGAGGAACACCAGUGGCGAAGGCGGCCUGCUGGGCUCUAACUGACGCUGAGGCUCGAAAGUGUGGGGAGCAAACAGGAUUAGAUACCCC